rnacentral:rRNA from 1 species
GCUCAGGAUGAACGCUAGCUACAGGCUUAACACAUGCAAGUCGAGGGGCAGCAUGAUUGAAGCUUGCUUCAAUUGAUGGCGACCGGCGCACGGGUGAGUAACGCGUAUCCAACCUUCCGUACACUCAGGGAUAGCCUUUCGAAAGAAAGAUUAAUACCUGAUGGUAUGAUGAGAUUGCAUGAUAGCAUCAUUAAAGAUUUAUUGGUGUACGAUGGGGAUGCGUUCCAUUAGGUAGUAGGCGGGGUAACGGCCCACCUAGCCGACGAUGGAUAGGGGUUCUGAGAGGAAGGUCCCCCACAUUGGAACUGAGACACGGUCCAAACUCCUACGGGAGGCAGCAGUGAGGAAUAUUGGUCAAUGGACGAGAGUCUGAACCAGCCAAGUAGCG